rnacentral:rRNA from 1 species
GAUGAACGCUGGCGGCGUGCCUAACACAUGCAAGUCGAGCGGUAACAGGUGUAGCAAUACAUGCUGACGAGCGGCGAACGGGUGAGUAAUGCUUCGGAAUCUUCCCAGUAGUGGGGAUAACUAGCCGAAGGUUAGCUAAUACCGCAUACGACCUACGGGUGAAGGCAGGGGAUCGCAAGACCUUGCGCUAUUGGAUGAGCCGAAGUCGGAUUAGCUAGUUGGAGGGUAACGGCCUACCAAGGCGACAAUCCGUAGCUGGUCUGAGAGGACGACCAGCCACACUGGGACUGAGACACGGCCCAGACUCCUA